rnacentral:lncRNA from 1 species
UCUCAUUGGUCGAUGAUCUGAGCAAUCGUCUACAUGGAUCUGUUUUUUUUUUUAUAACUAAAACACAAUAUUAGUAGAACCUCCCCCAGACUUAGAUAACGCUGUGACCAGUGUAUAUCCAGUCGGAGUUAUGGUGUAAAUUAAUCAUAAGUACUCAAUUUAACAAGUUAGAAUGAUAUACCUGACCGGAAUGGAUGUCGAUCGAUGUAAACGUGUUGUCAUCGGUCGUGGAAGAUGUAGCAAUGUUGAUCGAUAUCGACUGUUCUCGUCGGUCGAUAUCAUGGCAAUCGUUUACUCGGGUCCCUAUUCUAAAC